UAUUUCUAUUCUCUCUCAUAGAUUGAAUAUCAAAGCUCUGAGUUUCUAUUUCUAUUCUCUCAAUAGAUUGAUUCAUUCAUUCGCUGUUUCGAUAAUCAAAGCUGAUCUCACUUUAUUUUGCGCUAUUCUCUCAUAGAUUCAUUCAUUUCGCUCGCUGUUUCUUUUGUUGAUUGAUUUCGCCCUAAUCAAACCUCUCUCUCUCUCUCUCUCUCUCUCUCUCUCACUUUCCUUACCAACCCAACCGCUUCAUGGAUUCACCGCCGUCUACUCCUCCGAUCACCACUCCUCGUACUCCCAUUUCGCCAUCCACGCCUCGUACUCCCAUUUCUCCAUCCACACCUCGUACUCCGAUCACCACUCCUCGUACUCCGCCGCUUUCAUCAUCGUCCCUGGCGGGUGUAGUAACUCCGUCACCUCCUCGUGCACCGAUGAAGCAACGAAAGAUAUAUUCUACCCCGAUGCUACACUUGAUGGAUAAAAUAAUUCAAGAGGGAGAAUUGUUGUUGCUUGAGUAUCGAAGGAAUCAGAACACUGCUGAAGCCAGGGAAAACAACCGAAAAAGAAAAAUACGUAUUUUGAUGUCACUUCGAUGAUCAUUCAUUCCUUUUCUAUAUGAAAAUGGGUAACUGAAUGAAAAGGGUAAGAUAUAUAUUUCUUCCUUUCAGUUGUUGAUUGAUCUGUUUGAGGUAGGUUAUGUUAUCUUCUUUAAAAAUAUUAUUUUGAAUCCAUAAUCUGUUAGGAGUGUCUUUGCAGGUACAUCAACAUUCCUAUUCUUGUCAGUAAGAUAUUAAUUUGUUUUUGCCUCUUUUUCAUUUACUUUUUACUUUUUAUAGUAUCAAAAAUGGUAAGGAAAAGGGUAAGAAUUUUUUAUUGCUAUUUUGUUAUUAUGAAAUUGUGAUGUUCUGAGGUAGGUAAGGUUGGUAUGCUAUAUUCAUUACAUUAACCAUCAUUACUGCUAAACCAAUGACAUCUGUAAAAUGCGAGUGGAAACUAUCCUCUGUCUUAUUGGGAGCUCAAUCUCGUCUGCGACGACAACAUUUCAAAUUGGCAGAAGGUAAGUUACUUCCUUAGCAUUCUAUUCAACAAUGCCAAAGGCAGGUUACUAUGCUUAUUGAAGGUUCCUUUCAACUAUACUGAUCAAGUAUAACUCAUUUGGUACUAAAUUGUUUGGCAUAAUACUCAUCCAUCACUUUACAAUAUAAUGAGUGUCAUAAGUUUUAAGAUGGUCUCUCUGCCACUUUAUUGUGUAAGUUAGUUAGCUUUCCGUUAAGUUUUCCUAAAUUGCAUUUUUCUUACCUGAUUGCAUCCAAAUAAUUGGUUGCUAAUUAUGCAUUUUUGCUGGGUUUUUUUUAAUCUUUAACUUGUUACUUGAUGCAUUCUAUUCAACCAUCACUGUGUCAUUUGUUAGACACAAAAUUCAAUGUGCAAAGGUGAUAAGUGAUAACAAUGUCAAAGCUUUGUGCUACCAAAGACAGGUUUGUAUGGUUAUUUUGGUUUUAAUCCUUAACACUUCUUGAUGCCUUCUAUUCAACCAUCACUAUAUAUCAUUUGUUAGACACAGAAUUUGCAAUGUGUAAAGGUGAUAACAAUGCCAAAGUUUUGUUCUGCCAAAGACAGGUUGGUAUGGUUAUUGAAGUGCUUUUUAUAAUAAGCUUAGAGCUUAUGUCACACUUUUUUAUGUCAGACAGGUUUCUAGUUGUUGGUACUUAGGCAUCCUGCUUUUUUCUUUCAUAAUUAUGCAUUACUCCAAAUUUGAAGGUUUUUUCAACUAUGAAUUGUCUUAUUUAAUUAACUAUACUGAUGAAGUAUAACUCUUUUGGUACAAAAUUGUUUGGCCUAAUACUCGUCAAUGUGCAAAUUCAUGCACAUGCUCAUAAUUUGAACGACGGUGGACAAACACAAGAUUUGCACAUUGGCCUAUAUCUAUCAUAUUAUCAAAACCUACUGAUGGAACUAACAUACUUUACUACUUUCUUAUCUCUGCAUAUAGUUGAAAUAUUGCUUAGCUUUCAAAGUUGGAUGUUUAGGGCUCCAAAACCAAUCAAUCAUAUUGUAGCACAUUCAUGACUGGUUUCAAAACUGAACUGACAGUCAUUUUGGUUUCCUUCACUUGUUGUCAGGUUUGCUUGUAUACAAUCCUUUUUCGCCAGUGAAGACAAGACUGCAACUUCAGAUGCCCCUUCAUCAGGCACGAUCAUACUCUGGGCUAUAUGGUCUGCUCUCCAUCUUACAUUAACUAUAUAUUCUGAACUGUUCACUUAAUUGAUUGCUAACUAUUCAUUUUUGCUGGUUACUUUGGUUUUAAUCUUUAACACUUCCUGAUGCAUUCUAUUCAACCAUCACUAUAUGUCAUUUGUUAGACACAAAAUUUGAAAAGUUUUGUUCUGCCAAAGACAGGUUGGUAUGGUUAUUGAGCAAGCUUCAAGGAAGCCACUGCACCGGUUCAGGAAAAACCCUUGAUUUCGACAUUCCGUUCCUCCCAAACCUCUCCAGGUUCCUCCAUCUUCUCAUUUCACUUGUUGUGUUUCUUCGUCUUCUUUAAUUCUUAUUGAUGUGUCGAUUCAAACUUAUUUAUUUAUUGACUGUAAUAUGUUCAAUUUAUGCGUGUGCGUGACUAUGAAGCUUUUCUUUGCUUUUAGGUAUGCCAAAUUUAUAAUGUUGCCCAACAUUUUGUUUCAAUUUUAUCGAUUAUUAAGUUAAUGAUCCUCAUUGGUGGAGUGGAAGUAAAAACUGUCAUGAAGAAAAUUGAGGAACAAGGAGCAAACAUCUUGAUCAGCAGCACGCCUGUUGAAGUGCUUAUGCUCUGCUACUCAAACUUCGGAAUGGUAGAGAUUAAGAUGUGAACUGAUUAUGCAAGUGAAGAGCCUAAUUUGUGCCAAUGGAUGCAAGAGGAUAAAGAACUGUCUACUCAUGGUCAUUAUCUUUACUACGAGAUUUGAAGAAAUGGAUAAAGAACUUUAUUUGGUCAGGGGAUAUCACUCAAAGGAAGCUGGUAAUUGUUAGUUGGAAAAAUGUUUGCAAGCCUUUUAAUCAUGGUGGUCUAGGCCUCAGGUCUUUAUUUAUUCUCAAUGAUGCCUCAAAUUUAAAGCUUUGUUGGGACAUGUUACAUUCACAAGAACAUUGGGCUAUAUUACUGAGAAGCAGGGUCUGUUGAGAUAAACAAUGCAUAUCCACAUUUUUUCAUCCUUAUGGAGUAGCUUCAAGUCAGAGUUCAUUUUAAUUUUGGAGAUUCUUUUCAGUUGAAGAUGACUCUACUGUAAAUUUAUGGAAUGACAGAUGGUUUGAUAAACAAUCUUUGGCUCAAACGUUACACAUACCUGUCAAUCUUCAUCAGUUUGCUUCAAGUCAGAGUUCAGUUUAAUUUUGGAGAUUCUUUUCAGUUGGAGAUGACUCUACUAUAAAUUUAUGGAAUGACAGAUGGUUUGAUAAACAAUCUUUGGCUCAAACGUUACACAUACAUGUCAAUCUUCAUCAGUUUCUUUCUGCUACUGUUGCAGACUUUAUUCAUGAUCACCAUUGGCAUAUUCCUUUUGAUCUGGAAGUUAUGUUCCCUAAUCUCAGAUACAUUAUUGAUAGGGUUUCAAUCCCAAUGGAGCAUAAGCAUGAUGCGUUAGUUUGGAUUCAUACUGACUCGGGUAACUUGUCCCUCAAGGAGGCUUAUUCUUUCAAAAAUCAUCAUUCCAUGGAUCUACAUUGGGCUAAGCUUGUGUGGCUUGGAGACUUAUGCAUGGUACGAUGCCAACUGAUGAAAAUUUAAUGUUGAGAGGAUGUAGCAUGCCUUCAGUCUGUAAUCUUUGCCUUCAGCAUGUUGAAACUUCCUUUCAUUUUUUCUUCGAAUGCCCUUACUCUAUAAACAUAUGGACCUGGUUCUCUGAGAUGGUUGGUAUUAAUUUAUAUUUCAACUCAGUUGAAGAAAUUUGGAAGAAAUGUGACAGACAAUGGACUCCUCAGUGUAAGGUUAUUAUGCAGGCUUCACUGAUUAACAUCAUUAAUACAAUUUGGUUUGUGAGAAAUCAAGCAGAUUCAAGGGAAAGAAUGUUCGCUGGGAAAAUGCAGUCACUUUGAUAUUGGCAAAUGUUGCUUUAGCUGGAAACAAUACAAAGCGUACUUUCUACAACUCCAUGAAGGACUU